UGUCGUCAGCUCGUGCCGUGAGGUGUUGGGUUAAGUCCCGCAACGAGCGCAACCCUCGUUCUAUGUUGCCAGCGCGUGAUGGCGGGGACUCAUAGGAGACUGCCGGGGUCAACUCGGAGGAAGGUGGGGAUGACGUCAAAUCAUCAUGCCCCUUAUGUCUUGGGCUUCACGCAUGCUACAAUGGCCGGUACAAAGGGCUGCUAAGCCGCGAGGUGGAGCGAAUCCCAAAAAGCCGGUCUCAGUUCGGAUUGGGGUCUGCAACUCGACCCCAUGAAGUCGGAGUCGCUAGUAAUCGCAGAUCAGCAACGCUGCGGUGAAUACGUUCCCGGGCCUUGUACACACCGC
rnacentral:rRNA from 1 species